AUGGCAAUAGCUUAGUGGUAGAGUCCCCGCUUCGCGUGCGGGGGAGACCCGGGUUCGAUUCCCGGUUGCUUUC
rfam:Toxocara canis scaffold417, whole genome shotgun sequence.